UACGUAGGGUGCGAGCGUUGUCCGGAAUUACUGGGCGUAAAGAGCUCGUAGGUGGUUUGUCGCGUUGUCCGUGAAAACUUACAACUCAAUUGUGGGCGUGCGGGCGAUACGGGCAGACUGGAGUACUGCAGGGGAGACUGGAAUUCCUGGUGUAGCGGUGGAAUGCGCAGAUAUCAGGAGGAACACCGGUGGCGAAGGCGGGUCUCUGGGCAGUAACUGACGCUGAGGAGCGAAAGCGUGGGGAGCGAACAGG
rnacentral:rRNA from 1 species